AGUGAACGCUGGCGGUAGGCCUAACACAUGCAAGUCGAACGGCAGCACAGAGGAGCUUGCUCCUUGGGUGGCGAGUGGCGGACGGGUGAGGAAUACAUCGGAAUCCACUCUGUCGUGGGGGAUAACGUAGGGAAACUUACGCUAAUACCGCAUACGACCUACGGGGGAAAGCAGGGGACCUUCGGGCCUUGCGCGAUUGAAUGAGCCGAUGUCGGAUGGGCUAGUUGGCGGGGUAAAGGCCCACCAAGGCGACGAUCCGUAGCUGGUCUGAGAGGAUGAUCAGCCACACUGGAACUGAGACACGGUCCAGACUCCUACGGGAGGCAGCAGUGGGGAAUAUUGGACAAUGGGCGCAAGCCUGAUCCAGCCAUACCGCGUGGGUGAAGAAGGCCUUCGGGUUGUAAAGCCCUUUUGUUGGGAAAGAAAUCCAGCUGGCUAAUACCCGGUUGGGAUGACGGUACCCAAAGAAUAAGCACCGGCUAACUUCGUGCCAGCCGCCGCAGUAA
rnacentral:rRNA from 1 species